GCUAAUUUUAGGAGGCAGUCAAAGUAAUGGCUAAAUUAGGAGUCAUUUCCUGGAUUUUCAUUGCCUUCCUUGUCUCAGUUGCAGGAAGUUUGAAGGCAAGCACUGAGUUGUGCUGCAAUAACUAUCCAAAACUGGGGGACUGCAAGCCAGGAAUAGACGACUGGCAUGGUACUAGCAGUGAGGAGAAUGGCAAGUGCUGGAGUCAUUGCAUUUCAGGAUGCCUAAAAGGAGGAUUCUGCAAGCAAAUUAUAUUGGGUGGCUCAACCACCCAUGUCUGCCAUUGUUAUUGUUGAUUUCAAAUGUAUUACUCUGCAUUGCUCUUCCAUAAAUCAUAGUCAUAUGGCUAAUCAAAAUCAAUAAUGACAAGGAAGAGGCAACAUAUUGCACCAUCGAGUGAUGAAAUUCAUA